rnacentral:tRNA from 1 species
GGAUUGUGACUCAGGGGUAGAGCCCUUGCCUAGCACUUGUGAGGCACUGGGUUCAAUUCCCAGCACCA